AAAUAGUUUUACAACAAACACUGAACACAAAUGUUUUAAACAAACAAGAGAAAAACAUAAUAUGCAAUGGAGAGUCUGAAAAUAUAAAAUAACAGAACGGUGUUCAUUUUGUUAACUAAGGAACUGAUGGAGCUGCUUCUUCCUCCAUGGCACAGUCAACCUUCUUGCCUUCUCCUUCAAGCAAAUUCGCUAUGAAGCCACUCUUGGACAUAGAUGUGUUAGGACCUGUUCCAUUUUUGUUGUCUCCACUCAUUAUCAUCUUGUUCCCAAGCUCUAGCCUAAGCUCCUGCGGCACUUUCUCCACCGUACCAACAGGUUCCUCAACACCAAACCCACAAGCCUCACCAGGAGGUUUCUGUUGCUCUGUAGUUUCUUUCUGCGCCAGGACAAGACUAUGUUGAGGAGUCACCAUCGUUGUCUCCGGAGUUGGAAAAAACUCCAGCAGAGGAGUGGCAGCUUCUCCUUCUUCCAUGACUCCAUCUUUCUCUUUCUCCUCCAUCACAGCUUCCUCGGGCUCUUCGUCAUCGCUCUGAUACGGCACUAAAGACAACGGUCGAGCAGAUUCACAGAUCUCCACAUCCUCCGUUGGCUGAUCAUUAGGAGGGAGAUCAGUUUGGUUCUUGAUUCCUUCUUUUGCGAACAUUUUAACAUGGGGAGCCACGUCGUUCUCAGGAGUUAUGGGAGUGACUUUCCCCUUCUUGAACACGAGACCUCUCAGCUUCGUGUCACUGUCGUUCAUCUUGACAUUGAGGAGGUACCCCGCGUCGAAAGAUCCUGUGGCCGCACCUGAAAACGUCUUACCAACCAGGUUAACAUUUUCUUGUUGAGGCUGUGUUGUGGUUUCAUCUUUGCGUGGACGACCUCUCUUUCGCUUCGCCAAGAGAUCAUUAGCAACUGGAGGUGGUGAGCUUGUGGUGGCUAGAUUCAACGGAUUCAUUUCUACAGAGAACAACAAAUAGAUAAAUAAAACAAACACAAAGUUCUAUUGCAUAAAGACAAGUGUGUGGAUUAUUUACAUGGCAAAUCUACAUAACAUUCUAUAGGGUUUCACACUGAUUCAUCAUGGAACUGAUUUAAGACCAUAUCAGAAAUAUAGUAGAUAUCUAAGAAUCAAUAGAUCUCAUGCAUCUAAUCAGAAUAACAUUUUCUCCCGAAAUCGACCGGAUCAGCCGAUAAGGUAUAACAAAAAAAUCAGGAUAACAAACCGUAAAAAAUGAAUGAAGAUCAGAAACAUUAAACAAAGAAAUUUAUAUUUAAAACAAAAACAGAUCAACUUGUGUAUGAUCAAACAAGAUAAAUACCAGAAAAGUUUGGUCAAGAAAUGUAGAUAAGGAUCUAAAUAUUUUCUUUGAGUUGUUCUCUCUUGUGGUGUUUGGUUAUACGUUCUCUUUUUGAUUUAUAAGCAACUUAUUUGGGCUCGUAAUAGGCUUUUUCAUUAGUACUGAAUUUUGUCCAUAUUUAGUUAAAUGACUUCAGUGCUCAAAAAAUAUCUUACUUAACUUUUAUUACCAAUAGUCUUUUUUUCUUUUUUGAAUAACAUUUCAAAAAUCUUUUUAACCACUAAACAGGUUGGCCAAAUCAUGAAUACAAAAAUCUUUUAAAAUAAUACCAAAAAUAUGAACCGACUAGAAUUCAUCAAUUCUUUUUAGAAAUUCACAAACGUAUUGUUUCGUAAAAAUUGACAGUAGUAAAAAAAACCAGAAUUUAAGUUUUUAGUCAAUUUUGACUACACGAUAAAUUUGUAAAUAACUCUAAAGCGGUUUAUAUGUAAUUUUUUUAUUACUAAAGCGUUUUUUUUUACUUUAAUUUUUAGUAAUUUUAAUAUGUUACUUCAAAAAUGUGUUUAUUGCAAAACAAACAAAAUUUAAGUUUCUAGUUAAUUUUGAAUAAAUAAUAAAAUUGUAAAUAAAAAUAAAAUUUUAAUUUGAAUAAAAUUACGAAAAACAUUUCACCACUUAACAGGUUGACAAAAUCAUAAAUUCAAACAAAAAUAAUGCCAAAAAUAUGGACUGACUAGAAAACAUCAAUUUUUUUAAGGAAUAUCAUAAAUUUAUUUUUGCGUAAGAAAAUUGACUUGAUAUCAAUAUAAAUUCGGUUUAUUUUAUUACUAAAGAGUUAUUUUCAGUUUUUGACUUUUGAUAAUUCUAGUUGGUUACUUCAAAAAAAUGUGUUAGUAAAGAAAAAAGCCUAAUUUAAGUUUCUAGUUAAUUUUGACUAAACGACAAAAUAUAUUUAAGAACUAAAACUGUACUUCAAUUUAUAAUUUGGUAUAUUUAUUACUAAGAAUUUUUUUUUACUUUUUGAUUUUAAUAAUUUUAAUAUGUUUCUUAAAAUGUUGCUAGUAGUGAAACAACCAAACUUUCUAAUUUUGACUAAACUAUAUAUUUAUAUUUUCUAAAACUGUAGUUUGAUUUAUUGUCUGGUUUAUUUUAUUACUAAAGUGUUAGUUUUACUUUUUGACCUUUAAUGAUUUUAAUCUGCUACUUCAAAAGAAUGUGUUAGUAGUGAAACAACCCGAAUUUAAGUUUCUAGUUAAUUUUGGCAAAAUGAUAAAUUUGUAAAAUAAAAAUAAAACUGUAAUUUUGAGUAAACAAUAGAAAGUAAUAUAACUUAUGGAGUUACUUAUCAAAAUAUAAAACAAUAUUUAUUAGAAAAUAGUUUUCUUACAACAAUUAAAAAAAUUAAACUUGACUCUUCCUUUGUCUUUAUAUACACAUUUUUGAAUCAAAACUUAUAAAUCACCACGAACUAAUUCUUAUUUUGAAUAUUACCAAAUAAGUUCUUCAAAUGAAAAUCCAUUCUUCAAACUUUCUUCAAAAGAGUAGUCAAAUCUGAGUGAAGAAAUUUGUUUGUUCAGUUUCUAUAAGCAAAGAAGAGGAAAACAAAACUUUCAGAUGAAUUUGAAUUCUAGAAGAAGGCAAACUCUAGUUUUGGGCAGUUAAAACGGUCAUUGCCUCAACCGACAAAACAAAAGUAAAAAGCAUUAUCUAUGCAUAUUUAAAAAAAAAUAAGAUAAAAGGUGUUAUACAAUAGAUUUUUCAUACAAUAAAGUGUAUACUUAAUGGUUAAUUGACAUAUGAUGUUUUUUUAGCACUGAUUUAUUACUAUUUACAAUUAUGAGAAAUAUUACAUAGACGAUUCGACAACCGACAAUACUACAUAUUUUAUGAGGAUCUACGUCUAACUGCAUCCCUUGAGUCGUCCUAUAAGAUCCACAUUUGGCCGAGUUUACUUGCACCAUGUUGAAGAUUCCUAGUAAAUCUUUCCUCGUAGCUUAUGUCUAAUUGUUUAAUAAAUCACUAUUUUCCAGGAAUUGAAACAUGGACUUCCUGGUAUAGAUACAUUAAUUAAUCUCUAGUCAAACCACUGGACUAAAGAUGUUUCUACCACUAUUUCAUCAAAAUUCUUUUUUGAGAAUUGUUACUUUACAGCCGACAAUUAUUUUUUGCACCAUCCCAAACAGUUUUACAAAAUUACGUUUAUGCUAAAUAUUUUAUGUUACUUAUUUUCAAUUAAUUUUUGCAUAACUGUUAAAUAAUACCUCCUCUGUUUUAUACUAAGUAUCAUUUUAACAUUUUUUUCUUGUUACACAAAGGGUGUCACUUUAGAAUUUCAGUGCUAAUUUUACUUACUUUCAGCUUAAAACUGAGAGAAAUGGCCUUAGAUAGCCCCAAACCAAGUUAUUUUUCCAAAUAUAGACCUCAAGAUCCAACUUGACAGAAAUGUUUCAUUUAAUGAUAACUAAUUAUCAGGAUAUCCCCAAUGUUAAUUUAACCUAAAUUAUUAAAUAAUAAAAUGAAAAACAUUUUGAAAAAACUUUUCGUAAGUUUUCGACGACGAAGCUGUGCCGUUGUAUUGAUGUCCGUCGUCUCCGUCGCGGACAGUCGUCCGCAUAUCGCCUCCGUAUCGUCUCCGUCGUCGUCAAUAUGCAAUUUUUUCUCUGCUCAAAUGACUCAUGUGUAGGGUUUCUUCUCACUAGUAUUGCAAUCUGUUUAAUUUGGUUGUUGAGAAUCAUCAUAUUGUUGCUUGCAUUGUAUUGAAUCUCAAUGGUAAAAACUCAGAAAUCUUCAAUCUUGGAUUCAUUUAUCAUGUUUAAUGAGGAGAAUUGGGUAUUACUUCAUCUUAACACUGUCAUUGGCAUCUCUGUUUUUCUGAAAUAAUUAGAUCAAUAGAUGAUUCAGUCAUUGUUACUCUUUCUAUGGUUACUUCAUCUUGAGACUAUACUGGAUCUUCAGUCACAUAUAACAAUUGGUACCUAAGUUAUGUGGAUUUGGUUGCGGGGUUUGAAGCUAAAAAUGCAAUCUUUAAAUUCAUUUAAGUGUUUAUGGUUCACACUUCACACAUUAUAGGACUCUUUAAAGAUUUAAAAUUUUUUUUGUGUUUUAUUUGUCUAUAGAAGAUACCGACAACAUGUAUUGUUUGCUUGGUUUUUACAGUAUUUUCAAUCACGCCAUAGGAAAGCUUUCCUCAUCAGUAAAGUGUAAGUCAAUCUACUUUAAAGUUUUAUUUGAGUUUUUUCGUCCUCCUGAUUGAACAUGACCUUAUUUCAUGGUCAAAGCUGAAUAGGACUAGUUAUUGCUAGUAUUUUUUUGGGGUUUUUGUGGACAGAGACAGUGUAUAUGCUGGGAAGAAAGAAGAUAGGAUGAUGAUGACUAGACUUCACAAUGUUGUCGAUAUUUACUUUGUUAAAUGUGGCUCUUAUGUUGGAUGGAGAUAUGCAAAAAGAAAUAUGUGCAUGAGCGAGCAUAUACCAAAACUUUUUGGAAGCUUUUGUAUAUAAUCAGUAUAGCCUUCCAGAUUUAACAUCAAAUUUUCUGGAAAGCUUUUCUGAAACUACACAAAUCUUUCCUGAAAUUUAAAAAACACUACACAAUUUCACAAGCACAAGCAGACUAACAAUGUCAUUAGCAAAUUCACGAGCCUACCAAAGAUAUCAACAUGCGUAAGCCAAACAAGAAGACACCAAGCAAAAGUUUUUCAAAUUUGUUAACAUCGAAUUUUCUGGAAAGCUUUCCUGAAACUACACAAAUCUUUCUUGAAAUUUAAAAAGCACUACACAAUUUCACAAGCACAAGCAGAAGAAAUAGACUAACAAUGUCAUUAGCAAAUUCACGAGCCUACCAAAAAUAUCAACAUGCAUAAGCCAAACAAGAAGAGACCAAGAAAAAGUUUUUCAAAUUUGUUAACAUCAAAUUUUCUGGAAAAACUACACAAAUCCUUCCUGAAAUUUAAAAAACACUACAGAGUUUCAAGUAUUACGACCCGUUCUACAAAGAAAAUUACCCUAAAAUUAAUUUCAAAGUGCAUUGAUCUUAUAAAUAAUUCUAUUUAUCUCAAAUACUAUUGGUCAGAUAUGUGUAAUUAAUAAAAACUUAAUUAUAAUUCAUUUACUUUUUUAAUCUAUGUGAAAAAUGUGAAAGUGACACUUAUUUAGAAAGGAAAAUCGUAUUUUCUAGAAUUUGAACACCUGCUAAUGCAGAAGUACUAACGAACACAAUCAAAACAACUGCAUUGCAAAGCUUCCACUAUUUUACCAAUAUAUGCAACUAAUUUUUUUUGUCAAUAGCUCAUGUAAUUAAACCAAAUUCUGAACGAAAGAGAAGUUAUUCCAAAGAACAACUCCAUCCCACUUAUGUCUGCUACUCUGCUUUACAUAUGAAAAUAAAACGUCUUUGGUUUUAGCUUCCUUUGCUAGUGCAGCUAAUUUAUCUACGUAUCCUAAAAGCUCGUCUCUAUGCAUGUGGUUAAAGCACAUUUGCAUAGGGCCCCCCGAAAUUUUUUUUUGCAAACUUUAGUUAGAGUUUGCUGCCCUUUACGAAAAUAAUAGAGCUCAUUUUUACAGAAUGCAUGUGUUAUUUUUAUAAAUUUACACAUGGUCCAAUAAAAGAGUGAGACGGGCUAAAAUGCUAUUUAGUUACUUUGUUGUAUCCUUGUUAGAAUUUAAAAGAAACAAAUGCUUGAAUAACCAGACGAAGAAAUAGUUUUACAACAAACACUGAACACAAAUGUUUUAAACAAACAACUGAAACAAGAGAAAAACAGAAUAGGCAAUGGAGAGUCUGAAAAUAUAAAAUAACAGAAAGGUGUUCAUUUUGUUAACUAAGGAACUGAUGGAGCUGCUUCUUCCUCCAUGGCACAGUCAACCUUCUUGCCUUCUCCUUCAAGCAAAUUCGCUAUGAAGCCACUCUUGGACACAGAGCUUUUAGGAUCUGUCUCUUUGUCUCCACUCAGUAUCAUCUUGUUCCCAAGCUCUAGCCUAAGCUCCUGCGGCACUUUCUCUACCGGACCAACAGGUUCCUCAACACCAAACCCACGAGCCUCACCUGUAGCCUCUUCUUUCUGUGCCAAGGCAAGAUUCUGUUGAGAAGCCACCACGGUCGCCUCCGGAGUUGGAAAAAUCUCCAGCAAAGGAGUCGCAGCUUCUCCUUCUUCCAUAACUCCAUCUCUCUCCUCCACCACAGCUUCCUUGGGUUCUUCGUCAUCGCUCUGAUACGGCACUAGAGACAACGGUCGAGCAGAUUCACAGAUCUCCACAUCUUUCACUGGUUGAUCAUUAGGAGGGAGAUCAGUUUGGUUCUUGAUUCCUUCUUUCGCGAACAUUUUAACAUGAGGAGCCACGUCGUUUUCAGGAGCUACCGGAGUGACUUUUCCCUUCUUGAACACGAAACCUAUCAGUUCCGUGUCACUGUCGUUCACCUUGACAUUGACGAUGUGCCCCUUGUCGAAAGAUCCUGCGAUCACAGCAGUAACCGUCUUACCAACCAGGUUAACGUUUUCUUGUUGAGGCUGUGUUGUGGUUUCAUCUUUGCGUGGACGGCCUCUCUUUCGCUUCACCAAGAGAUCAUUAGCAACUGGAGGUGGUGAGCUUGUGGUGGCUAGAUUCAACGGAUUCAUUUCUACAGAGAACAACAAAUAGAUAAAUAGAACAAACACAAAGUUCUAUUGCACAAAGACAAGUGUGGAUUGUUUUCAUGGCAAAUCUACAAAACAUUCUAUAGGGUUUCACACUGAUUCAAUCUAAAUCUAAUUGUUAUAUAUUCAUCAUGGAACUGAUUUAAAAGCAUAUCAGAAAUAUAGCAGAAACCUAGGAAUCAAUAGAUCUAUGCACUUUAAUCAGAAUGACAAUUUCUCUCCCGAGAUCGACCGGAUCUAAGCCGAUAGGGUAUAUCAACAAAAAAAAUCAGGAUAACAAAAUAUAAAAAUGAAAUGAAGAUUAGAAACACUAAACAGAGACAAUUAUAUUUUAUAAAAAAACAGAUCAAAUUUUGUAUGAUUAAACAAGAGAAAUACCAGAAAAUUUUGGUUCCGAAAUGUUGAUAAGGAUCGAAAUAUUUUCUUCGAGUUUUUCUUUUUUGUGGUGUUUGGUUAAUUAUAUCUCCUCCUUCUGAUUUAUAAGCAAUCUAUUAUGGGCUUGUAAUAGGCUUUUUCAUUAGUACUGAAUUUUUUUCUACACUUAAUUAAAUUACUUCAAUGCUCAAAAAAUAUUUUUCUUAAAUUUGUUUACUAAUACUCAGAAUUUUUGUCUGAAUAACAUUCCGAAAAUCAUUUUGACCACCUAACAGGCUGGCAAAAUCAUGAAUGCAAAAAUCUUUUUAAAAUAAUGCCAAAAAUAUGUAAUGAGUAGAAUUCAUCAAUUCUUUUUAGAAAUAUCACAAAUUUAUUGUUUCGUAAAAAUUGACUGAUAUUGAUAUAAAUUUGGUUUAUUUAUUACUAAAAUGUUAAUUUUUACUUUUUUACUUUUAAUAAUUUAAAUUUGUUAUUUCAAAAAAUGUGUCACUGAAACAACCCGAAUUUAAGUUUUAGUUAAUUUUGACUAAGCGAUAAUUGUUUUUUAAGUGUAAUUUGAUUUAUAAUUUAUUUUAUUACUAAAGCAUUACUUUAAUUUUUAAUUUUUAAUAAUUUUAAUCUGUUACUUCAAAAUAUGUGUUAGCAGUGAAACAAGUUAAAUUUCUAACUAGUUUUGACUAAAUGAUAAAUUUGUAAAAAAAAAACUGUUAUUUGAACAACAUUCCAAAACUGUUUUAACCACUUAACAGAUUGUCAAAAUCAUAAAUGCAAAAAAAUAUUUAAAAUAAUGCCAAAAUAUUGACUGACUAUAAAAAAAUCAAUUCUUUAUAGAAAUAUCACAAAUUUCUUGUUUUGUAAAGAAUGAACUUGAUAUCGAUAUAAAUUCAGUUUAUUUUAUUACUAAAGAAUUAUUUUUAGAUUUUUAAUAUUAAUAAUUUUAAUCCAUGAAUUCAAUAAAAUAUGUUAGUACUGAAACAAGCCUAAUUUAAGCUUCAAGUUAAUUUUGACUAAACAACAAAAUUUCUUUUUAGAAAAUAAAUUGUACUUCGAUUUAUAAUUUGGUAUAUUUUAUUACUAUUGACAUAUUUUUAGUUUUUGAUUUUAAAUAAUUUAAUCUGUUACUUACAAAGAUGUGUUAUUAGUGAAACAAGCCAAACUUUGUGACUAAUUUUGUCUAAACGAUAUUUUUUUAAAAAAACUACUGUAGUUUGAUUUAUUAUAUGGUUUAUCUUAUUACUAAUGUGUUAGUUUUACUUUUUGACCUUUAAUAAUUUUAAUCUGUUGCUUCGAAAAAUGUUAGUAGUGAGACAAUCCAAAUUUAAAUUUCUAGUUAACUUUUGGCUAAAGGAUGAUUUAAAAAGAAAAAUUUCAACAUCUCCAUGACUUAGUUGCAGUAUUUAAUGUUAGCAGUCUAGCGUGUUUGCCACAUAUACAGUGAGUCGGAAAGCUCCUUCUUCUAUUUCCCAUAUUUACCAUAUCGCAUUUUCUCUCUUCUUCUUCGUGGUUUUCGUUUUGUUCUGUUAAAUGCCGACGAAACCUGAUUAUAACAUUCUCCCAGUUCUAUGUUACUGAAAAAUGACAAAACGACAUCAUCUCUAGGUGUCAUUUAAAAAAAAUAGAAUCAAUGAUUUUAAAUCGACCAAACAAUUAAAUCCACGUGUGCCACAUCAACACCCGAAACUAAGUAAACCGAAAUCAAAUCCGGUUAUGUAGCAAUUAACUAGAUUGGAAAUAUUUGGAUGUGAUAUUCAAAAUAAAAAUUAGUUCGUUGUGAUUUAAACUUGAUUUAAAAGUUUGUGUAUGAAGACAAAAGAAAAAUCAAAGAGAAAUUCUUUAGAAUAUUUAUUUUUAAGUUUUUGUCACGAAAAUAACCUUCAAUGAAGAAAGUGAGCAAAAUAAGUUUUAUUCAAAGUGUUAACUAAUAUAGACUUAAGAUUUAGAUUUAAAGGAUAUGUUUUAGGGAUAGAGUUUCAAAUUUACACAGAGAUUGACUCUAAAAGGAUCAGACUCAGAGAGGGUAUGAACUCUAGAUUUAUCAGAAACAAGGGUUUAAGGAACAAGCAAUUGGAGAUUCGAUUCGUCAACACUCAGAGCUAGUUUUGAUUGAUUUCAGAGGAUUCUAGGUUGAACGGGACAACUAGGGUUUAUGAAUCACAGUACUGCUAAGAUUGACACAGACCCUUAGAGAGAUGCAACCACAGGGAAUAAGUGAAGAGUAUAUUGGUUUAUUAAGAAGCUAACCUGCGAGGAAUGAGGCUAUAGGGUGAGAGAGUUUCACAAAGAGAACGAGGCGCGCCGCAGAGCAAGGAAGAAGAAGAAGAAGAAGGCAGUGGGGGUUUAUUUAAUUUCAUAGUUUUCGAGUUUUGGAUGUGUAUGUAUAUUAGAUCAAAGAUGUUAUUAUUUUCUAUCGUUCAAACACAGCCCCAAACAAAAAUUAUUUUUGGCUUAAUACAAAAAUAUAUACAUUAAAUAUAUAUAUAUAUAUAUAUAUAUACUAGGUGGUUUGUCCGCACCUGCGGGCAUGAUCGUUUUACUAAUAAUUAGUAAUAUAUGUAUUAUGAUUUAAACAUCAUAAUGACUUAUUCUUUAUAUUCUUAAUUAUUUUAGUUCUUUUCGAUUUUUUAUUUCGAUCAACGUCCUCUUAACACAAAGGAAAGCUAUAAAACUAUGAAACCAUAAGAGCAUAACUACAUAUCAAAUAUUCCACACAAUAAAGUAAAGUAGGAAUGUGAACUUUUGGUCUCUCUCAAUCUACUUUGUAUUUUUGAACCAUAAACAUGAAUUCACUUACAAAAAAAAUUAAAACACACAAAAUCCAAAUAAGAACAAAAGAAAUAAAAACUAAAUAGAAACUAAAUUUCGAUGAUAAUUUUGAAGAUUUGUUUUUAAAUGAAUUGAGAUAAUGACAAUAUUUCAUUGGUUUACUUGAUCAAUAUAUACAUUGACUUAUCUUAAUAUUUCAUAAGUUUACUUUUAAUAAAAUAAACGAUAGAUAAUGAUAGUUUUAUUAAUAAAGUUAAUUUAUGGUUAAUUAUAUAAUGAUAAAUCUAAUUAUUCAUUAAAAAUAUAUUUACUUUUAGCCGUUUAGAAACUAAACUACUAAAGACAUGUUCAUAACAUGAUUACAUAGGCAAUUCUCUAAAUUUAAUAUCAAAACAUAUUUUUCUUAUAGAUUAAAUAGUAAUACAACAUACACGUGAAAUAACUACUGAAGCAAUUCAGAAUACCUAAUUCAUAAUUCCAAAUUCCAUGUAACAAAACCGAUUUGCUCCUAGUAUUUCAGACUCAAAGAAAGAAGAAAAACAUAGAACUCCAACUAUAAUAAACAAAUAUCAAAAGUACAUAAAUAUAGAUGUCAAAAGUAUAAUCGACAACUUGGAAUAAAUGAGAAAAUUGAAACUAUAUACUUAAAAUAAUUAUAAUCAUAGUUCCAAUUAGAAAUUUCGAAAUAUUAUAUUAUUUAAAUUAAUAAUUAAUUAGAAAUCAAAAUAUUUAUAUUAUUUAAAUUAAUAAAUUGAUGAUUUAAUCUAAAAACUAAUAAGAGUAUGACAAAUAAGCAAAAUUAGUUAAAAUUAUGGAGAAUGUGACAAAUCAGCAAAAUCACUUCAUAAAUAAUAAUAUAGCUACAUUUAUUGUUUUCAAACAUGAAUUGAAAAAUCUCUAUUUUUUUUGUAAAAGUUAUGAUGUAUAUUAGUCUUGUUCAAAACAAAACAUUUUUUUGGAAAAAAACGAAGAACAUUGCUUUUGUUUGUCUAGACUCUAGAGCAUGUCUGGGUGGCAAAAAAAAAAGAAUUGAACGUGUGACUUUGUUCGUCUUAGAAAUGGUAAUAGUGUAACAGUCGAAAGCUUUGCAUGCCCAGAGAAAGUUAGUUGUUGAGACUACUCCUUGUCUCACUAGCUGGUCACAUUCAUCGUUUGCUUGUUGUAGCAGUGUGGGUGGCAUUCCUGCAUGACUCGCUUUUGUCCGGAUCGUUUGAAUAUUUUCCUUGAAAGGCAAGGAAACAAAGAACUCUGAGUUUAACCACAGUGGGUUGUUGCAUUUUUGGAGGAAAUCUGUAUGUGAGUCUGCACAUGAUGUUCCCGUCAUUUCUUCUCAAAAUUUUGUAAACUCUUGAGAGACCAAUCUUUCAAUUGCGAAAAGUCGAUGAAUUGUUGUGAAGCCUUUGUAGAGGUUGUUCCACCUUAAUCCUUGUGGUUUGAAUUGGUUAUCGAAUGCUUUCUUGAAAGCGUAAUAGGAAUCUCAUCCUAAUAUUAAAUCCUUUCCAGGUGCAGUAGAGCCGAGACGAUUUUGCAACACAAAGCUCAUGUUGAUAAGGUAUCCACAUGGAUGGAGAAAGAAAUUGGGAUUUAUAAUCGUUGUAUGGCCUCUGGUGUCUAUGAAUGCAAUGGUGUGAACUGGAUUUUCUUGACAGGAUGGGUCGAAGAUCGUCACUGUCGAUGAUCGUCACUGGUAAUUAAAAUGCUUUUAAUUACUUUGUUGUAUCCUUGUUAGAAUUUAAAGGAAACAAAUGCUUGAAUAACCAGACGAAGAAAUAGUUUUACAACAAACACUGAACACAAAUAUGUUUUAAACAAACAACUAAAACAAGAAAAAAAAAACGGAAUAGGCAAUGGGGAGUCUUAAAAUAUAAAAUAACAGAACGGUGUUCAUUUUGUUAACUAAGGAACUGAUGGAGCUGCUUCUUCCUCCAUGGCACAGUCAACCUUCUUGCCUUCUCCUUCAAGCAAAUUCGCUAUGAAGCCACUCUUGGACACAGAUGUGUUAGGACCUGUUCCAUUUUUGUUGUCUCCACUCAUUAUCAUCUUGUUCCCAAGCUCUAGCCUAAGCUCCUGCGGCACUUUCUCUACCGGACCAACAGGUUCCUCAACACCAAACCCACGAGCCUCACCU
rnacentral:lncRNA from 1 species